UUCCCAUUGUUUAUAUUUAUUAAAAUAGGUAGGGGGAGUAACUGGUAUAAUAAUUUCGCAUUUAUUUUAAAUUUCAAGUCAAAAAUUUUAAUAGUAUAAACAUUGAUUAAUACUCUGAAAUUGAGGACAUUUGUCUCAAGAUAUUGCUUUGUAAUUUUAUCUGCAGGUCAAACUGAAAAGUGGCCGAUUUUUUAGGUACAUUUAACCUACGAAAAUGGAUAGUUUACAUGUCAUCAUUUUCUGUUCAUUAAGUAACAUUCACCGAUCUAAUUCUAUUUAAAUUUUCAUGCUAGGUGAGUUUUGAACCCAGGAUUAUAUAUGUGAAGUUUAGUUUCAACCAGUUGCCUAACACUAAAGAUUUUUCUUAAAUAGUCCCAAAAGUGGCCGGAAUUACGUACAUGA